UACGUAGGGACCAAGCGUUUGUUCGGAUUUACUGGGCGUAAAGGGCGCGUAGGCGGCAAUUCAAGUCAUCUGUGAAAUCUCCGGGCUUAACCCGGAACGGUCAGAUGAUACUGCUUUGCUAGAGUGCGGAAGGGGCAAUCGGAAUUCUCGGUGUAGCGGUGAAAUGCGUAGAUAUCGUAAGGAAGACCAGUGGCGAAGGCGGGUCUCUGGACAGUUCCUGACGCUGAGGCACGAAGGUCAGGGGAGCAAACGGG
rnacentral:rRNA from 1 species